GAGCAGGAGCGCAGUGAAGGACACCGGACCUGCCCCUGCCAGGGUGACCGCCGUCAGGAGAGAAUGUAUUGAAGUCUACAUGGGGAAUUUUUUCCUGCUGCCCAGCUGCACCUUUCCAACAAACUUGCAGAAUGAAGGCCAGUUUACUACAUCCUCCAGAAGGAGUGAGACAUCCAAGACUUGGACACUUCUGCUCAUGAACCAGGGUAGGCAGACAGAAGCAAACUUGGGUCCUGAAUGCGACAGAAAUGAAUGAGGACAAACAGACCUGAAUAUCUACUGGGGAUUAGCUAAAGUUCAUCAUGUUGCUAUAUGCACAACAGAAAAGUUCAGCUGGAUUUUAAUGACAAGAUAAUAGAAAAACCAUAUGGAUAAAGAAAAAGGACUGUGUUGCAGCCAAAAUCCAAAGAAGGCAGACAGCAGCAGCAGAAGGCAGGAUACCUUGGGAAACUACAGUGGCAGAUAUCAAGGCAUCAAAGACAGGAAUAAGGUAUCAAAGUUAUGAAGGUCCAUAGUGAUAAACCCAUUGUUGUAAGGCAGGUAUAUAUUGGAGAAGUGUGCAUAUAAAUUGGACUCCUGCCAGCUAUUUCUUUGUGACUCAUGAAAGGAGUGCAGUAAUUAAAGUCUAGUUUCACAGAGGUAUUUAAAUUUGUAACUGCUAUUUGGUCAAUGGUGAUUUUAAUGGGUU